ACUCCUACGGGAGGCAGCAGUAGGGAAUCUUCCACAAUGGGCGCAAGCCUGAUGGAGCAACACCGCGUGAGUGAAGAAGGGUUUCGGCUCGUAAAGCUCUGUUGUUAAAGAAGAACACGUAUGAGAGUAACUGUUCAUACGUUGACGGUAUUUAACCAGAAAGUCACGGCUAACUACGUGCCAGCAGCCGCGGUAAUACGUAGGUGGCAAGCGUUAUCCGGAUUUAUUGGGCGUAAAGAGAGUGCAGGCGGUUUUCUAAGUCUGAUGUGAAAGCCUUCGGCUUAACCGGAGAAGUGCAUCGGAAACUGGAUAACUUGAGUGCAGAAGAGGGUAGUGGAACUCCAUGUGUAGCGGUGGAAUGCGUAGAUAUAUGGAAGAACACCAGUGGCGAAGGCGGCUACCUGGUCUGCAACUGACGCUGAGACUCGAAAGCAUGGGUAGCG
rnacentral:rRNA from 1 species